UUUAGCACAGCCCUACUCUCCUACGUAUACACACACACUCACUCACUCACUCACUCUCUCUCACUCUCCCCCCUCUCUCUGUUUGUCCCUCUUUCAAUUUGUUUUGCCUAUUUCUCUUUGCAUUCUUUCUUUUCUUCAGUAUGGCAUCUUCAGGUUUUGACCAGUUAUGCCAGGAAGCUGCAACUAUUUCAAAGCAUCUUGACAUGAAAGCUGACAAUGCUGAACUUGGAGCAGCUACCAGAGAGGCUGAAGAAAUUCUACAAAUGUUCAAUCCUCCACUGCUGAAAAAGAUGACCAAACGAGCGAUUUCCUGGACUCAACAGACACAGUGAACUUUGCACUGCAUUUCAAAGCCAGCUCCUCAGCCGCAACACCGAGAACCAGAGUUGAGGUCAAUGUACUGCUGAGAAAAGUGCAAGAUCUGUUUAACCAAAAUUAUAAGGAUGCCGGAGGUACUGGAAGGCUCCCCUGGUAAAUCAAGGCAUGACAGUUAAAGUUGCAGGACUGCCCAACAGCCUUACUUUCAAAAAGCCAUCCUAUUGUGGAAGGAAGCAGUUGGAGGCCAUUUUGCAAGCGGCUGAGGAGAUUUCAUUUGAAAUCAG